UUGCAUUGCUAUCUAGACGUAAGUGAGAUGGUAUCUUGGAAUCCAGAUAUUUUAGAGAAGGAAAACACUUUGGCUGAGCCAACUUAUGAAUUAUGUUGCCCUAUGUCAAGCUAAGCAGAUGUCAUUGGUAUGGUGACUGGUAUUUUGCCUAUUGUCAACAUUGGUGCUAAAGGUCGUCCAGUGCCAAAGAGAACUUGAUGACUCAGUGAUAGAAGGUUCACAUUGCUUUCCUCUAUGCUGUUCACGAUGUGCAAGAUGUGUUGCCGGCGGCGAGGCGAAGCUCGCAU